GACGAACGCUGGCGGCGUGCUUAACACAUGCAAGUCGAACGCUGAAGACCUGGCUUUUGUUGGGUUGGAUGAGUGGCGAACGGGUGAGUAACACGUGAGUAACCUGCCCUCUUCUUUGGGAUAACGCCCGGAAACGGGUGCUAAUACUGGAUAUUCACUGAUCUUCGCAUGGGGGUUGGUGGAAAGGUUUGUUCUGGUGGGGGAUGGGCUCGCGGCCUAUCAGCUUGUUGGUGGGGUGAUGGCUUACCAAGGCUUUGACGGGUAGCCGGCCUGAGAGGGUGACCGGUCACAUUGGGACUGAGAUACGGCCCAGACUCCGACGGGAGGCAGCAGUGGGGAAUAUUGCACAAUGGGCGAAAGCCGGAUGCAGCGACGCCGCGUGAGGGAUGGAGGCCUUCGGGUUGUAAACCUCUUUCGCUCAUGGUCAAGCCGCAACUGUGGGUUGUGGUGAGGGUAGUGGGUAAAGAAGCGCCGGCUAACUACGUG
rnacentral:rRNA from 1 species